rnacentral:rRNA from 1 species
AUUGAACGCUGGCGGCAGGCCUAACACAUGCAAGUCGAACGGCAGCACAGAAGAGCUUGCUCUUUGGGUGGCGAGUGGCGGACGGGUGAGUAAUGUCUGGGAAACUGCCCGAUGGAGGGGGAUAACUACUGGAAACGGUAGCUAAUACCGCAUAACGUCGCGAGACCAAAGUGGGGGACCUUCGGGCCUCACACCAUCGGAUGUGCCCAGAUGGGAUUAGCUAGUAGGUGGGGUAAUGGCUCACCUAGGCGACGAUCCCUAGCUGGUCUGAGAGGAUGGCCAGCCACACUGGAACUGAGAAACGGUCCAGACUCCUACGGGAGGCAGCAGUGGGGAAUAUUGCACAAUGGGCGCAAGCCUGAUGCAGCCAUGCCGCGUGUAUGAAGAAGGCCUUCGGGUUGUAAAGUACUUUCAGCGGGGAGGAAGGCGGUGAGGUUAAUAACCUUGCCGAUUGACGUUACCCGCAGAAGAAGCACCGGCUAACUCCGUGCCAGCCGCCGCCGUAA